rnacentral:rRNA from 1 species
CGCAGAAGCUAACCACUCCUCUUAACCUUCCAGCACCGGGCAGGCGUCAGCCCCUAUACAUCACCUUACGGUUUAGCAGAGACCUGUGUUUUUGAUAAACAGUCGCUUGGGCCUAUUCACUGCGGCUCUUCUGGGCGUUAACCCUAAAGAGCACCCCUUCUCCCGAAGUUACGGGGUCAUUUUGCCGAGUUCCUUAACGAGAGUUCGCUCGCUCACCUUAGAAUUCUCAUCUUGACUACCUGUGUCGGUUUGCGGUACGGGCACCUAUUUUCUAUCUAGAGGCUUUUCUCGGCAGUGUGAAAUCAACGACUCGAAGACUCAAUGUCUUCUCCCCAUCACAGCUCAGCCUUAACGAGUACCGGAUUUGCCUAAUACUCAGCCUUACUGCUUAGACGUGCAAUCCAAUCGCACGCUUCGCCUAUCCUACUGCGUCCCCCCAUCGAUUAAAACGAUUAUAGGUGGUACAGGAAUAUCAACCUGUUAUCCAUCGCCUACGCCUGUCGGCCUCAGCUUAGGACCCGACUAACCCAGAGCGGACGAGCCUUCCUCUGGAAACCUUAGUCAAUCGGUGGACGGGAUUCUCACCCGUCUUUCGCUACUCACACCGGCAUUCUCACUUCUAAGCGCUCCACAUGUCCUUACGAUCAUGCUUCAACGCCCUUAGAACUCUCGUUAAGGAACUCGGCAAAAUGACCCCGUAACUUCGGGAGAAGGGGUGCUCUUUAGGGUUAACGCCCAGAAGAGCCGCAGUGAAUAGGCCCAAGCGACUGUUUAUCAAAAACACAGGUCUCUGCUAAACCGUAAGGUGAUGUAUAGGGGCUGACGCCUGCCCGGUGCUGGAAGGUUAAGAGGAGUGGUUAGCUUCUGCGAAGCUACGAAUCGAAGCCCCAGUAAACGGCGGCCGUAACUAUAACGGUCCUAAGGUAGCGAAAUUCCUUGUCGGGUAAGUUCCGACCCGCACGAAAGGCGUAACGAUUUGGGCACUGUCUCAACGAGAGACUCGGUGAAAUCAUAGUACCUGUGAAGAUGCAGGUUACCCGCGACAGGACGGAAAGACCCCGUGGAGCUUUACUGUAGCCUGAUAUUGAAAUUCGGCACAGCUUGUACAGGAUAGGUAGGAGCCUUUGAAACGUGAGCGCUAGCUUACGUGGAGGCGCUGGUGGGAUACUACCCUAGCUGUGUUGGCUUUCUAACCCGCACCACUUAUCGUGGUGGGAGACAGUGUCAGGCGGGCAGUUUGACUGGGGCGGUCGCCUCCUAAAAGGUAACGGAGGCGCUCAAAGGUUCCCUCAGAAUGGUUGGAAAUCAUUCAUAGAGUGUAAAGGCAUAAGGGAGCUUGACUGCGAGACCUACAAGUCGAGCAGGGUCGAAAGACGGACUUAGUGAUCCGGUGGUUCCGCAUGGAAGGGCCAUCGCUCAACGGAUAAAAGCUACCCCGGGGAUAACAGGCUUAUCUCCCCCAAGAGUUCACAUCGACGGGGAGGUUUGGCACCUCGAUGUCGGCUCAUCGCAUCCUGGGGCUGUAGUCGGUCCCAAGGGUUGGGCUGUUCGCCCAUUAAAGCGGUACGCGAGCUGGGUUCAGAACGUCGUGAGACAGUUCGGUCCCUAUCCGUCGUGGGCGUAGGAAAUUUGAGAGGAGCUGUCCUUAGUACGAGAGGACCGGGAUGGACAUACCUCUGGUGUACCAGUUGUCGUGCCAACGGCAUAGCUGGGUAGCUAUGUGUGGACGGGAUAAGUGCUGAAAGCAUCUAAGCAUGAAGCCCCCCUCAAGAUGAGAUUUCCCAACUUCGGUUAU